UGUGAGAGGAUGUAUGACACUAAUUGAGAUUAUUUUAAAGGCUAGUGUGCAGGUAUUUUAUUCUAAAUCUAUAUAUCACUUAAGAGCCCACAGGACUUUAGUCCAUCAGUUGGCACCAUUGUCCUCAUUGCUUGUAAUGGACAAGAAGUCUAAAGCUUAAAUAGAAAAAGGGGACGCUUCCACCACUGUUCUCAAGAAUAAAAGUGACAUGGUC
rnacentral:lncRNA from 1 species